rnacentral:tRNA from 1 species
GCCGGGGUGCCCUAGCCUGGUAGGGGGCAGGCCUGCUAAAUAGUAGGUUUAGAUCUAUGCAGCAAGUCUGUGGCCCGUAUGGGCCGCACGGGUUCAAAUCCCGUCCCCGGCGCUA